GGGGGUAGCUGAGUGGUAUAGCGCCAAGCUGGAAACCAUG
rnacentral:tRNA from 13 species